rnacentral:rRNA from 1 species
GGUCAAGUGAAGAAGCGCAUACGGUGGAUGCCUUGGCAGUCAGAGGCGAUGAAAGACGUGGUAGCCUGCGAAAAGCUUCGGGGAGUCGGCAAACAGACUUUGAUCCGGAGAUGUCUGAAUGGGGGAACCCAGCCAUCAUAAGAUGGUUAUCUUGUACUGAAUACAUAGGUGCAAGAGGCGAACCAGGGGAACUGAAACAUCUAAGUACCCUGAGGAAAAGAAAUCAACCGAGAUUCCCUUAGUAGUGGCGAGCGAACGGGGACUAGCCCUUAAGUGGCUUUGAGAUUAGCGGAACGCUCUGGAAAGUGCGGCCAUAGUGGGUGAUAGCCCUGUACGCGAAAAUCUCUUAGUCAUGAAAUCGAGUAGGACGGAGCACGAGAAACUUUGUCUGAAUAUGGGGGGACCAUCCUCCAAGGCUAAAUACUACUGACUGACCGAUAGUGAACUAGUACCGUGAGGGAAAGGCGAAAAGAACCCCGGAGAGGGGAGUGAAAUAGAUCCUGAAACCGUAUGCGUACAAGCAGUGGGAGCAGACUUUGUUCUGUGACUGCGUACCUUUUGUAUAAUGGGUCAGCGACUUAUUUUCAGUGGCGAGCUUAACCGAAUAGGGGAGGCGUAGCGAAAGCGAGUCUUAAUAGGGCGUCUAGUCGCUGGGAAUAGACCCGAAACCGGGCGAUCUAUCCAUGGGCAGGUUGAAGGUUGGGUAACACUAACUGGAGGACCGAACCGACUACCGUUGAAAAGUUAGCGGAUGACCUGUGGAUCGGAGUGAAAGGCUAAUCAAGCUCGGAGAUAGCUGGUUCUCCUCGAAAGCUAUUUAGGUAGCGCCUCAUGUAUCACUGUAGGGGGUAGAGCACUGUUUCGGCUAGGGGGUCAUCCCGACUUACCAAACCGAUGCAAACUCCGAAUACCUACAAGUGCCGAGCAUGGGAGACACACGGCGGGUGCUAACGUCCGUCGUGAAAAGGGAAACAACCCAGACCGUCAGCUAAGGUCCCAAAGUUAUGGUUAAGUGGGAAACGAUGUGGGAAGGCUUAGACAGCUAGGAGGUUGGCUUAGAAGCAGCCACCCUUUAAAGAAAGCGUAAUAGCUCACUAGUCGAGUCGGCCUGCGCGGAAGAUGUAACGGGGCUCAAACCAUACACCGAAGCUACGGGUAUCACGUAAGUGAUGCGGUAGAGGAGCGUUCUGUAAGCCUGUGAAGGUGAGUUGAGAAGCUUGCUGGAGGUAUCAGAAGUGCGAAUGCUGACAUGAGUAACGACAAUGGGUGUGAAAAACACCCACGCCGAAAGACCAAGGUUUCCUGCGCAACGUUAAUCGACGCAGGGUUAGUCGGUCCCUAAGGCGAGGCUGAAAAGCGUAGUCGAUGGAAAACAGGUUAAUAUUCCUGUACUUCUGGUUAUUGCGAUGGAGGGACGGAGAAGGCUAGGCCAGCUUGGCGUUGGUUGUCCAAGUUUAAGGUGGUAGGCUGAGAUCUUAGGUAAAUCCGGGAUCUUAAGGCCGAGAGCUGAUGACGAGUGUUCUUUUAGAACACGAAGUGGUUGAUGCCAUGCUUCCAAGAAAAGCUUCUAAGCUUCAGGUAACCAGGAACCGUACCCCAAACCGACACAGGUGGUUGGGUAGAGAAUACCAAGGCGCUUGAGAGAACUCGGGUGAAGGAACUAGGCAAAAUGGCACCGUAACUUCGGGAGAAGGUGCGCCGGUGAGGGUGAAGGACUUGCUCCGUAAGCUCAUGCCGGUCGAAGAUACCAGGCCGCUGCGACUGUUUAUUAAAAACACAGCACUCUGCAAACACGAAAGUGGACGUAUAGGGUGUGACGCCUGCCCGGUGCCGGAAGGUUAAUUGAUGGGGUUAGCUAACGCGAAGCUCUUGAUCGAAGCCCCGGUAAACGGCGGCCGUAACUAUAACGGUCCUAAGGUAGCGAAAUUCCUUGUCGGGUAAGUUCCGACCUGCACGAAUGGCGUAACGAUGGCGGCGCUGUCUCCACCCGAGACUCAGUGAAAUUGAAAUCGCUGUGAAGAUGCAGUGUAUCCGCGGCUAGACGGAAAGACCCCGUGAACCUUUACUAUAGCUUUGCACUGGACUUUGAAUUUGCUUGUGUAGGAUAGGUGGGAGGCUUUGAAGCGUGGACGCCAGUCUGCGUGGAGCCAUCCUUGAAAUACCACCCUGGCAACUUUGAGGUUCUAACUCAGGUCCGUUAUCCGGAUCGAGGACAGUGUAUGGUGGGUAGUUUGACUGGGGCGGUCUCCUCCUAAAGAGUAACGGAGGAGUACGAAGGUGCGCUCAGACCGGUCGGAAAUCGGUCGUAGAGUAUAAAGGCAAAAGCGCGCUUGACUGCGAGACAGACACGUCGAGCAGGUACGAAAGUAGGUCUUAGUGAUCCGGUGGUUCUGUAUGGAAGGGCCAUCGCUCAACGGAUAAAAGGUACUCCGGGGAUAACAGGCUGAUACCGCCCAAGAGUUCAUAUCGACGGCGGUGUUUGGCACCUCGAUGUCGGCUCAUCACAUCCUGGGGCUGAAGCCGGUCCCAAGGGUAUGGCUGUUCGCCAUUUAAAGUGGUACGCGAGCUGGGUUUAGAACGUCGUGAGACAGUUCGGUCCCUAUCUGCCGUGGACGUUUGAGAUUUGAGAGGGGCUGCUCCUAGUACGAGAGGACCGGAGUGGACGAACCUCUGGUGUUCCGGUUGUCACGCCAGUGGCAUUGCCGGGUAGCUAUGUUCGGAAUAGAUAACCGCUGAAAGCAUCUAAGCGGGAAACUAGCCUCAAGAUGAGAUCUCACUGGAACCUUGAGUUCCCUGAAGGGCCGUCGAAGACUACGACGUUGAUAGGUUGGGUGUGUAAGCGCUGUGAGGCGUUGAGCUAACCAAUACUAAUUGCCCGUGAGGCUUGACCAU